UUGUUACGACUUCACCCCAGUCGCUGACCCUACCGUGGCCGGCUGCCCCCUUUCGGUUAGCGCACCGUCUUCAGGUAAAACCAACUCCCAUGGUGUGACGGGCGGUGUGUACAAGGCCCGGGAACGUAUUCACCGUGGCAUGCUGAUCCACGAUUACUAGCGAUUCCAACUUCAUGGGCUCGAGUUGCAGAGCCCAAUCCGAACUGAGACGGCUUUUUGAGAUUUGCUAGGACUUGCGUCUUCGCUUCCCAUUGUCACCGCCAUUGUAGCACGUGUGUAGCCCAGCCCGUAAGGGCCAUGAGGACUUGACGUCAUCCCCACCUUCCUCGCGGCUUAUCACCGGCAGUCUCCUUAGAGUGCUCAACUAAAUGGUAGCAACUAAGGACGGGGGUUGCGCUCGUUGCGGGACUUAACCCAACAUCUCACGACACGAGCUGACGACAGCCAUGCAGCACCUGUCUCCGGUCCA
rnacentral:rRNA from 1 species